rnacentral:lncRNA from 1 species
AAAGGACCUAAGACAAAAGUUACUAGAAUUGCAGGAGGCUUGUCUUCUGGUGGCUCUGGGCUCGGAAAACUUUCUUCUGGGACCUGCUUCUCCAGAGGGUUCUAAAUUGGCCUUUCUAGCACCAGCAAGAAGAAGAGGGUGGCUGAAGUCCCCAGGGAAAGCCAGAAGACAGAUACUGCAAAGGGUCUGUUCCCUCCCUGGGGAAGCCUGGUCUUGCUCAGUGUCUGCAGCCACCAAUAGCAGUCGAGAGAGAUGGACGAUUGUGGAUGAACCCACUGAGGUAACAGUUAUUUACUGAGCACCUACUAUGUGCCAGGCAACCCGGCCUGGCAGACAAGAUCCUUGCCCCGUGCAACUCACGUUCUUGCAGGAGAGACAGUGUACAUCAUGUAGAAUCAUGUGGUGAGUACUGUGCAGAAAAUCAAAAUAGGGUGACAGCAUUGGGACUCAAGUGACUAAAAGGAUCACUGAGCAAUGGGACAGUCAGGGAGAACCUCUCAGGAGGUAGCAUUUGAGCUGAAUUGUAACUGACAUGAAAGAAUGCAGUAUAGCAUGUCCAAAG